rnacentral:lncRNA from 1 species
GCCACAGAUCAGAAUGAAUGGAGUACAAGGGCAUCACAAAACAAAUAUGACCUCAUUGAUGUAUCAAAUACAUAAAAAUUGACUGUCUUUUGACACAAUAAGGAAGAUAAGACAGCACCAAUACUGCUGUGAACAACAGCAGUAUUGAAGCUACAAAGAAGACAACUAGUUGCAUUUCUUAAACGUGUUUUAACAAAUCUAUAUUUUGUCAACUGGGCUCUUUCUAAAGUGCUAGGAUCUAUAGCCCAAUUUCCACUUAACAGGGAAGUGAGUAGUGCACCAUUGACACCCCUUUGAGCAAGGAUAAAGAUAUCCAUCUUCACAUCAAGAAAAGAAAAGAUUAAUCCGAAAAGAAAUGGCGAAAUAUUGCUCUGAAAAGGAGUAAAUUGGACCAAAAUGUAAAACGGAGACAAAAGAAAACAAGUAUGGAUGAUAAGGUUCUUCACUCAUAUUGCAUUUGAGCAUACUCUCUAACCAGAAUGCUGAAUGUAUUGUAUUAGCUCUAACAAUUAAAGGUUCGAUAUGCAUGACAGAUCAUGCUCUGCCAAAAAGCUACCAUGUGUCUACUUACUCUCCAUUUGAAAAAUUCUGCACAGGCAUCUUACAGCUAUGUAUCACUUAUAAGCUAAAAUACGGAUAUAAUCUCUACCGUAAUUUAUUUUAAUGGUUUAAUCCCGAAAAGAAAAUCUGUGGACUUUCUCCCAAAUUUCAACUAGGUUGUACUUUAAAAAAUAGACAAGUGUUGGGUGACCAGGCGAUUUAAAGUCANNNUGACCAGGCGAUUUAAAGUCAGUUAAUUAUAUAUAAAAAAUCAAUUUUCCAAUACAGCUGUACAAAGGAUAUAUCAACAAAAAGAUAAAACCACCGGUUUCAGGUUAACAAUUUAUUUGUAUGUUUAUUUAAGACCCAACAGAAGGAGUUCAAACAAAUGAAGUUGACGGUGAUAGGGAAGUAGAUAAAGCAAGUCUUCCAUCAGAAUUCAGAAAAAGCAAAGGACAACCAUUGCAUCCAUAUCUUUAUGCAUUGAAAUACUAUCUAAAUUCUAAAAUGAUUAAAAGGAAAUAAAUAUGUAUGCUUUUUUAUUUUUAUAUAAAAAAGAUUAGAUAAUAUGACUUGAAUUGAUUUAAAGUUGAAGACAGGAUUGAAUAUCAAUGGGUCAAGCGAUCUACUCCAUAGAUUAAUAGAUAACUGAUUAAUUGGUCGAGAAUAAAGGUAGAGUCCCAUUCUGCUGACUUCAGAAAUUGAGGGUUAAAGUCCCUCUAAUUUUCAAGAAUGAUCUUAAGCAAGGAAUAAUAUUCCAUAAGUUCACUGUACAUGUUUUAAUUUGCACGGCAUUAGUGAAUUUAUUGCCUGUUGAUGAUUAUAACAAUGAACUAAUAUAAAGGGUAUAGUUGGUUAUUCACAGAGUAGGCCCCAUAAUAGGAAAUCUGGAAACAGUUAGGUUUCUUUCAGUGAUUAACCAAUUUAUUAUAAUACUUGAUACAAGAUUAAGCUAUGCUGCACUAUAACAGGAGAAUCAAACUCCAGGAUUACUAUAAAACUAAUAGCUAAGACAAACCAUCAGCAAUCUCAGCCUUCUUAAAACAAAUGAUGCCAAAAUUGGCAAAAUGGAGUUUGCAUCUAAAAGCACAAUCUCUCCAAUCAUAUAUUUCGGAAAAAUGAAAGAAGCUAAAAACGGUUGAAAGAAAACGGAAAAGCAC